rnacentral:rRNA from 1 species
CACGUAGGGUGCAAGCGUUGUUCGGAUUUACUGGGCGUAAAGGGCGCGUAGGCGGUCGUGACAAGUCACUUGUGAAAUCUCCGGGCUUAACUCGGAACGGUCAAGUGAUACUGUCGGACUAGAGUACAGAAGGGGCAACUGGAAUUCUCGGUGUAGCGGUGAAAUGCGUAGAUAUCGAGAGGAACACCUGCGGCGAAGGCGGGUUGCUGGGCUGAUACUGACGCUGAGGCGCGAAAGCCAGGGGAGCGAACGGG